GGCCGUGAGAAGCUCAAGUUCACCAUGAGCCACGCAGUAAGCCAUGCUUUAGCCUCUGACCUGUGCUCCAAUUUUGGUACAAUGAUUUCUGCCAUGUUCUCCAACAGGGUGAGGAAACAGACAGCACUAAGAGAAAAAGCUGGAACUCAAAACCAAAUUAACUCCAAACUUAAGUUUUCCCACUUCGACAAGAAAAGGAACUGCAUGUGUUUUUCUGCCUCUUGCAGAUGUAUGUCAUAAAAGUUGGAUGCCUUCCUUUUAAGACAUUUGAAUGGAUCACCAAAUAAUUACCUACUUUUCUCUCACAACUCAGAUAAAUAAUUAAAAGGAGAUAUACACAGAU
rnacentral:lncRNA from 1 species